CAACAGGGAUUGCCUCAGUAACGGCGAGUGAAGCGGCAUCAGCUCAAAUUUGAAAUCUGGCCCCGUCGGGGUCCGAGUUGUAAUUUGUAGAGAGUGUUUCGGGUGAGACCACGGUCUAAGUCUAUUGGAACAUGGCGUCAUAGAGGGUGAGAAUCCCGUAUGUGACCGUGGCUCGAGCUCAUGUGAAGCCUCUUCGACGAGUCGAGUUGUUUGGGAAUGCAGCUCAAAAUGGGUGGUAAAUUUCAUCUAAAGCUAAAUACUGGCUGGAGACCGAUAGCGCACAAGUAGAGUGAUCGAAAGAUGAAAAGCACUUUGGAAAGAGAGUCAAAAAGUACGUGAAAUUGUUGAAAGGGAAGCGCUUGCAACCAGACCUGUCCGUAGGUGAUCAGCCGCUGUUCUCAGCGGUGCACUCGCUCUGCGAUCAGGCCAGCAUCGGUUUCGGCGGUCGGAUAAAGGCCUUGGGAAUGUAGCUUCUUUCGGGGAGUCUUAUAGCCCUCGGUGCAAUGCGGCCAGCCGGGACCGAGGACCGCGCUUCGGCUAGGAUGCUGGCGUAAUGGUUGUAAGCGACCCGUCUUGAAACACGGACCAAGGAGUCUACCAUCUAUGCGAGUGUUUGGGUGUUAAACCCAUGCGCGGAAUGAAAGUGAACGGAGGUGAGAACCCUUUAGGGCGCAUCAUCGACCGAUCCAGAUGUCUUCGGAUGGAUUUGAGUAUGAGCAUAGCUGGUGGGACCCGAAAGAUGGUGAACUAUACUUGAAUAGGGUGAAGCCAGAGGAAACUCUGGUGGAGGCUCGCAGCGGUUCUGACGUGCAAAUCGAUCGUCAAAUUUGAGUAUAGGGG
rnacentral:rRNA from 1 species